UUUUUUCUUUUCUUUUUUUUGGGGGGGGGUGUUUUAAAAUUUUUUUUCCCUGGCAAAUCAAGGUGCCCAGAGGUUCCCAAGAUACAGGAUGCCUCUUACCUCUUUCUUUGUGCUCUCAGUUGCCCCGCUUGCAACACCCCUCCCUCUCUUAUCCUCUUUGCAAACCCUUUCUGGAAAAUUCUGCUCCUCCUGUCUCCAUCCAGGCCCGUAGCACAUCCGGCUUUCCUACGCUGUCCCCUCCACUUACCACCCUGUAUUGUCAUCUACUGGUGUCUGUGGACAGACUGUGAACUCUGGGGGGGAUGAUGAUGACCAUUCGGGGCAGUCGGCAUGGAAUAGGGGUUCAGCGAAGGUUGAAAACACCAGGCUGAUGAAGUCUACAGAGCGGGUGGCAGGAGCCUCAUUUUGCGACUAAGAACGCUUAAUUCGGAAAGGUGAAGUCACAAGGGUCCUUGCACGGCAGCACGAUGUGGACACCACCUGACUCUCAUUUCCUGUGGUCCCUCGAGUUCCGUGAGCGACAGGAAAUACAAGUUUCCUGGAUGCUCUGGAGCAUCUAUACCUUGCCUCCUUUUGAGAAUGGACACCUGGAAGGGCAGCCUUAUGCAAUUCACCAUUAUCAGCGCAUCUAGUGUAACUCAGAGCCCAGGCAGCCAAGCGCUAAAUUAACAUUACUCUUCUCCGUGGAGGUGAUGGGGCUCUGAACAGGCACGAGAUGCCUGCAUAACUUUGAAGAAGAGAUUUACACACCCCUUUGUCUCCCGUAUAAAUGGACUCAAGGGCUGCAGCAGUGCAUAAAUGAUCUUUUCUUUCCACUGUUUAUAGUUGAAAGCAGCCGUUUUCAGCUUCUUGCCGGUGAUCACUCCCCUAAAAAUAGCUUUGAUGCUGUCACAUGCAAACUUGAGCAGAACCUGAAAGCAUUCCCCUUUUAGUUCUGAGCGGGCUCAACUUUAAAAGAGAGGCAGCUGUUAACAUACUCCAGUGUGUUUACAUGAUGCUGAAGUAGUUUGGCUCCAAGUUUAAUAAAAAAACAAAAAAAACAAAAAACACUCAAAAGGGACAGAAAUGGGUAUCUGGUGACGACAUUUCUUUCUGCUGAACUGGAGCAACAGGGAGGUUGGCAGGGAAAAUCCAAAAGGCCCAGCUUUAAGGGGGAAACAGACUGGAGCACAACUGUGGUGAUGAUGGGAGCGAGAUGCUUCUUCCUGCCAUGGGAGAUUCCCGACUCUGCUUGGGGUGGGGGUCAGGGAGGUGGCAGAGAAAAUGAUACAACAGAGAAGAGGACUUAUAACCCAGGGGUACUUUCUUACUGUUGGUUGAGACCAACGAAGAGCUGUUUUUAGAAAUCAAGGACACUGGGAGUUCCCGUGAUGGCUCAGUGGAAGAAAGUUUGACUAGCAUCCACGAGAACGCAGGUUCAAUCCCUAGCCUCGCUCAGUGGGUUAAGGAUCCAGCGUUACUCUGUGCUGUGCUGCAGGUCCCAGAUGCGGCUCAGAUCUGGCGUUGCUGUGGCUACAGCUCUAAUUCGACCCCUUGCCUGGGAACCUCCGUAUGCUGUGGGUGUGGCCCUAGUAUGACCAAAAAAAAAAAAGAAAAAGAAAAAGAAAAAAAGAAAUCGAGGACACAAAGAAUGAAAGAAUGAAACACAUUCGAUACUUUGGCCAGUGCUUGGAUGCCUUAUAUUGGUUCACUGGGCAACCGGACUUCUCUGGUCGUUUUCAGAAACCAGACCCAAGCUGAAGGGAGAGCAGCGUAUGGGCUUGGAAACCAGAGGAAACUCAGACUUUUAUCCCAGCUCCUCCUCUUCUGGCCCAAGGGGGUCUGCUGUGUUUCCCUAUUUUCCACCCAGGGUAUGAAGGUGAAAGGGAGAAAACAUAGGCUGAAGUGCCAGGUGGAGUGUGUGACCCCUAAUAAUCAGCAGUGUCCUUUAGAAACCUGUGACUGGAAGAGAGAGUGUCUGGGGUCAAGUCUGGAAUAUAAGCAAUUCAUUAAAAAAAAAAAGCAUCCAUCAAGAGAAUGGAUGUGUGUACGUGUAUAACUGAAUCCCUCUGUUGUACAGCAGAAAUGACCACAACUGUACGUCGAUAAAACUUUAAAAAAUGAAAAAAAGCACUGAUCAAAUAGUGUUUUUUCUUCUUUCUUAAUAUUAAUUAAUAUUCCUUCUUAAUUCUUAAUAUCCAAAGGAUGACCCACAUCCUUAGGAAGUGAGGUUUUGUCCUAGAAAACUUGCACAGAGCCUGGCUGAGCUGAGCUGGAGGGGACGAGGGCCCUGGCCACCAGAGGACUUCUCAGAGGAGCUGGGUGCUCAGUGCCAGCCUGCAAAGAGAUGGGACCCUCAGGUCAGGGAUGACACAGUGGGGUUCCCUUGCCCACGCACCAGAGUCCUCCCUUUGGGACGUUCAUGCUGGAAACCCACAUGUAUGUCACAACCCAGAAUUUAACAAGAACUCAGAUUCUUAGAGGGCAACUUGGAGAAAACAACACCUCUCUUCCAUCGCACGCUAUAAAUUUGAGCGGGGCACACUGAGGUUCUAUUAGUGCAAGAAUUUAUCACCUAAGUUGUAUGUAUUUGAACAACAGAACAGACUUUAUAUACUGCUGUUUCCUGAACACUCAUUUUUUGGUUAACAAGACAAAAGAAUUUACAGUCACUGCCAACAGCUUGCUGGCAGCUAAUACCCCGAUUAGCCGUUGCCUGGCAACAGUCAAGCAUGCUUCCUCCCAAAUCAGGAAGAACCACGGCUAAAUCUAGACUAAUUACAAAAUGGGACAAAUAUUUAAAAGCUUUAUAUUUAUUAAGGCUUUGGGGAGGGUAUCCUAGUAAGAAUGAGUCCUACUGAACAAAUUUAACUAAAGAGAGUACAUAUCUGUCUUUGUUUCGGUGUUCCAUGCUAUGCAGAUCAUUUUAGGAAAACCGGGCAUUUUUGCAUCUUUCCCAGUUUCCCCAAAUAUUGUACUAAACAAAACCAUGCGCUUAUAUUUUACGGGGGGAAUGUCUUUUGCCUACUCCUCUAAGAAUAAGGAUGAAAAGGAGCGCUGGAAACACCCUAGCCUUGUCAUACACACAGACCUGCACAGACAUAAGGAGGCUACUAUCACAAUUCUCGCAACUCUUCCAGAGACAUCUGGACGGAAAGCUCAGCAGCUUUCUGCCUUCAUUUCUACCUUCAUCUGCAUUCUUACUUCCUUUUAUUUCAAGAGGCACUCAGAGUUCUCUGGGUGGUGAACAAAUCCAGAGUUUUUUCAGAGUCCACCAGGGCUGGCCACCCUGCCAUACAGGCUAUGUUGCUGGUGGCAAAGUUCUGAACAAUCAAAGUUCUAAAGUCAAGAGACCUGGCUGGGAGGUCCCAUUGUGGCGCAGCGGAAACAAAUCUGACUAGGAACCAUGAGGACGCGGGUUCGAUCCCCGGCCUCGCUCAGUGAGUUAAGGAUCGGGCAUUGCUGGGUGGCAGAUGCAGCUUGGAUCCUGCAUUGCUAUGCCUGUGGCGUAGGCUGGCAGCUAUAACUCUGAUUAGACCCCCUAGCCUGGGAACUUUCAUACGCUGUGAGUGCAGCCCUAAAAAGACAAAAAGUCCAAAAAAAAAAAAAAAA
ensembl:lncRNA